AAGAAGAGAAGAAAAGAAGAACAAAAAGAGGUAGCCAUUCUAGACCCCUCCCUUACAUUCUAACUCUCCUUUUUUUUUUUUUUUUUUUUUUUUUUU
rnacentral:ribozyme from 1 species